rnacentral:rRNA from 1 species
UUAGUGGCGGACGGGGUGAGUAACGCGUGGAAAACCUGCCGUAUACUGGGGGAUAACACUUAGAAAUAGGUGCUAAUACCGCAUAAGCGCACAGCUUCGCAUGAAGCGGUGUGAAAAACUCUGGUGGUAUACGAUGGUUCCGCGUCUGAUUAGCUAGUUGGUGGGGUAAUGGCCUACCGAGGCAACGAUCAGUAGCCGGCCUGAGAGGGUGAACGGCCACAUUGGGACUGAGACACGGCCCAAACUCCUACGGAAGGCAGCAG